rnacentral:rRNA from 1 species
AUUGAACGCUGGCGGCAUGCCUUACACAUGCAAGUCGAACGGCAGCACGGGAGCAAUCCUGGUGGCGAGUGGCGAACGGGUGAGUAAUAUAUCGGAACGUGCCCAGUAGUGGGGGAUAACUGCUCGAAAGAGCAGCUAAUACCGCAUACGACCUGAGGGUGAAAGGGGGGGAUCGCAAGACCUCUCGCUAUUGGAGCGGCCGAUAUCAGAUUAGCUAGUUGGUGGGGUAAAGGCCUACCAAGGCAACGAUCUGUAGUUGGUCCGAGAGGACGACAAGCCACACGGGGACGAGACCUCGGCCCAGACUCCUACGGGAGACAGCAGUGGGGAAUUUUGGACAAUGGGCGCAAGCCUGAUCCAGCAAUGCCGCGUGCAGGAAGAAGGCCUUCGGGUUGUAAACUGCUUUUGUCAGGGAAGAAAUCCUCUAGGUUAAUACCCUUGGGGGGAUGACGGUACCUGAAGAAUAAGCACCGGCUAACUACGUGCCAGCAGCCGCCGUAAAAC